ACGAACGCUGGCGGCUGCUUAACACAUGCAAGUCGAACGGAGUGGCGAACGGGUGAGUAACGCGUGAGCAACCUGCCUAUGACAGUGGGAUAGCCUCGGGAAACCGGGAUUAAUACCGCAUAGUCAUAGAUGGGCUCGCGUCUGAUUAGCUAGUUGGUGAGAUAACAGCCCACCAAGGCGACGAUCAGUAGCCGGCCUGGGAGGAUGGACGGCGACAUUGGAACGGAGACACGGUCCAAACGCCUGCGGGAGGGAGCAGUGGGGAAUAAUGCACAAUGGGGGAAACCAUGAUGCAGCGACGCCGCGUGAACGAAGAAGGUAGUCGUAUCGUAAAGUUCUGUCCUAUGGGAAGCAGUACCAUAGAAGGAAGCUCCGGCUAAAUACGUGCCAGCAGCCGCGGUAAUUC
rnacentral:rRNA from 1 species